GCGCUAGUCCUUACGCGGUGCCAGAGACUAUAAGUGGGCUUGAGCUCGACCGCGCGCCUGUGGAAGUUCUUUCUCUACUCGAAAAAGGGAAAGCAUUUCCUUGAGUUUGCGUUUUAAGGGAAACUUACAGCAUUGACACUUUAUUUAAAAUAUUCACUACUGCUGUAGAAAAAAAAAAACAAAACCCCGAAAAACAGUGGGGCUGUUUCUAAGACGCUGGGAAUCAGUAAAGAAUAGUGAUCCGGGAGAUACAGGAAGCAAAUGAUCUGCGCUCAAAAAGCGAGCUGCUUUCAAAGAUAUUAGUAUUUUAUAGAUGCGAUGCAGGAGAGUGAACUCAAGCAGAGCCCAGCCGAUUGCCUGCGUUGGCAAAAUAGAACAGAUAUUCUGGGGAGACCAAGCAAACAGCUUUCAAAAAUGAAGACUAACUAGGCUGGAUGCAGUGGCUCACACCUAUAAUCCCAGCACUUUGGAAGGCCGAGGUGGGCAGAUCACGAGGUCAGGAGAUCAAGACCAUCCUGGCUAACACAGUGAAAUCCCCCGUCUCCACUAGAAAUACAAAAAUUAGCCAGGCGUGGUGGCGGGCACCUGUAGUCCCAGCUACUCGGGAGGCUGAGGCGGGAGAAUGGCAUGAGCCUGGGAGGUGGAGGUUGCAGUGAGCCAAGAUCGUGCCACUGCACUCCAGCCUGGGUGACAGAGCAAGACUGUCUCAAAAAAUAAAUAAAAAUAAAAAAGAAGGCUAACUAAAGACAUUCUUAAACACACAAAAAUGGAAGGAAAUUUUCAGCAUAAGAUCCCACAUGAAACAAGAAGUUCUUCAGGCAGAAUGAAAAUGGCAUUAGCUUCAAAUCUGAAUGUAUACAAAGGAGUGAAAUGUGGUCCUGGCUACUUAGGAGUCUGAGGUGGGAAGAUCACUUGAGCCCAGUUCAAAGCUGUGAUGAGUUGGUCAUGCCAUUGCACUUCAGCCUGGGUAACAAAGUGAGACCCUAUCUUUAAAGGAAAAAAAAUUGUGAUGUGGGUUUUAUAACAUAUGUAAAAGUAAAAUGUAGCACAAAGUGUGGGAGAGAAGAAAUAAAAGUAAAUUUAUAUGCUUGUA